rnacentral:rRNA from 1 species
AUUGAACGCUGGCGGCAGGCCUAACACAUGCAAGUCGAGCGGAUGAAGGGAGCUUGCUCCUGGAUUCAGCGGCGGACGGGUGAGUAAUGCCUAGGAAUCUGCCUGGUAGUGGGGGAUAACGUCCGGAAACGGGCGCUAAUACCGCAUACGUCCUGAGGGAGAAAGUGGGGGAUCUUCGGACCUCACGCUAUCAGAUGAGCCUAGGUCGGAUUAGCUAGUUGGUGGGGUAAAGGCCUACCAAGGCGACGAUCCGUAACUGGUCUGAGAGGAUGGUCAGUCACACUGGAACUGAGACACGGUCCAGACUCCUACGGGAGGCAGCAGUGGGGAAUAUUGGACAAAGGGCGAAAGCCUGAUCCAGCCAUGCCGCGUGUGUGAAGAAGGUCUUCGGAUUGUAAAGCACUUUAAGUUGGGAGGAAGGGCAGUAAGUUAAUACCUUGCUGUUUUGACGUUACCAACAGAAUAAGCACCGGCUAACUUCGUG